AAUGAACGCUGGCGGCAGGCCUAACACAUGCAAGUCGAACGAGGGGCGGACGGGUGAGUAAUGUCUGGGAAACUGCCUGCUGGAUGGGGAUAACCACUGGCAACGGUAGCUAAUACCGCAUUCCAUCGGUUGCGUCCCUAUUGGAUUAGCAAGUAGGGAGGGUAAAGGCUCACCUAGGCGACGAUCCCUAGCUGGUCUGAGAGGAUGACCAGCCACACGAGAACUGAGACACGGUCCAGACUCCUACGGGAUGCAGCAGUGGGGAAUAUUGCACAAGAGGCGCAAGCCUGAUGCAGCCAUGCCGCGUGUAUGAAGAAGGCCUUCGGGUUGUAAAGGACUUUCAGCGGGGAGGCGUUACCCGGAGAAGAAGCACCGGCUAACUCCGUGCCAGCAGCCGCGGUAAUAG
rnacentral:rRNA from 1 species